rnacentral:lncRNA from 1 species
CUUCCAUAAGUUUGGUACGUAUUUAGACUAGACAGUAUUUAGAUUGAUUAAAAGAGUGCCCCAAUUAAAUAUUUUCUAUUCUUCAAUUGGUAUAAAGAAGCCAGCCUCAUGCUGAAGCUGAUUGGACCCUUACAGCAAGAAAAAGAUGGAUUGUACUUGCUCCAUACUUGCAUUUCAUGGAAAGUAUGACACUUCGUGGACUGGGGAGGACCACUUGCGUUUCCCUUGACUUGAGUCUCGGUUGGCUUUGCAGAUUCUCUGGUAUGAAUCUACACAUCCUUCUUGUUGUCUUAAUUCUUUUAAUAGUGGAUUAAAGCUAGCUUGUUAAUAGCUAUGCAUGCCUCUGUAUGACAUACAAAUAGUCAAAAUAGAUGAUAUGCUGUACACGAUUAUACAAGUUUGCAUGAACAUGCAUAAUUCUUACUUCACAAUAAUUUGUGUUUAGAGACUGUUUCUACAUGUUAAAGGAUUACUCGUGCAUUCUGAAAAUGCAACUUUGAACAAAUAAGAAAUCUGAUUUCCGAUGCCAUUUUAAGGAGUGUUUUUUUAGCGUCUACAACAAGCAUUUCAAGAUUACAAAAGAAGCUAUACGACAACUUUAAUUUGUUCUUUCAUCACCCUUGUCUUUUUCUUUAUGUGAUUUUAGCUAUAUACAUUUUAGUGUGAACAUUAUGAAUUUAAUUAUGUGCCUUGAAUAAAGUAUCAUCACCUAACUAAUUUCAACUUACAACUAAUGUUUUUAGAUAGAUCAAUUUGUUCUGAUAUAUCAGGAUAUAUAUUUUAUGUAGUUUUGGGAAUAUGUGGGAGGCUUUAGGUAAAGUGUACGUUAAAGAAAUUCCUUAAUAGUUUGCUGGCAUGUGGAUAGGAAUAAAUUCCAGUAAGGGGAAUAAUUUGGAAAUUAGGAUCCUCUCCAUUUCAUGUGUGCUGUAAAAUAGCUCCUGUUAUAGCCUAUAUCCCAUAUUCUUCAAUCUUAUAGCUCCUGUUAAAUUAUGGCAUUAUAGCCAAACCAUAAGUAGAGUUGCAUGUUGCUAUAAUUUUUAGUUCACGUCUUAUCUUUCCAACAACUUAAUGUUGGAAAUAUCCGAUCCAUAUAUGCUCAUCUGAAACUGCAUAUUGACCCAAAAGGUUAACCCUAUGGUCCAUUAGAGCAUAUAUAUCCUCAAUUCAAUCUUUCUCCUUGUAUUUCGAUGCGGGACUUUACUAUGCGUACCUAACACUUAAUGUAAAGUAUUAAGUAGUUAUCUUUUUAAUGCUUCCAUCAAGUCUUGACUGCAAUUCACUUUCUCUUGUAUUUGUGUGUGGGCAUUUAUUCAUUUAUAUGCUAAAAGGGGAGUAUUUAGCUUUAAGCAAAUGUUGUGUGAUUUUCAAUAGAUGGAAACAUAGGUUGUAUUGUACUUAGACUCGUGUUAAUAUUUUGUUUUCUUUUCUGAAAGGAACAACAAAUCGCAUUUUAGUAGUAUCAUUUGGAUUGGCUGGUCGGUCGGUCGGUCGGUCGGUCGAUCAUUAGUGAAAAAUACUUGCCCGUGCCAGUUGCUUAUUGGACCACAUCUGACAAGGAUUUAAAGAAGGAAAUGACCACGGAAUGAUAUUCCCUUCGGAAAGGAAACAAAAGUUGGAAAGAUUCCAAGGAAUGGGAUUUGAGAAUCUUAACUCAAAGUAAAGCCAAUGGGAAUGGGGUGGGGUGGGGUGGGGUGGGGUGGGGUUCUCAAGUCAAGAAUUUUAGUUAUUCUUUUCUACUCAAACUCACAAUACAAAUUGUUUAAUUUCUAGAUUGACAAUAGAUUAGAUUAAGAUGCCUUUCAAUAUUCAGAAUCAAGUAAACAAUCUAUAUCUAUAUACAUAUAGGAAAAAUAAAAUAAAAUUGUACUUGUAUUUGUAUUUGGUAUGAGAUUAAAAUUUAAUUGUUACUAAAAUAUUUUUUUAAACUUCCUGAUUUUAGUUUAUUAACUACUACUAAAACACUUUUUAAACAUAGAAUUUAAUUAGAAUCAAAACACUAUUUAUAAUCCUGAAAAAUUCUAGAACAACUUGUUAUUUUAUAAUAAUUUUAUUUCUUAUAGAAGUCUUUUAUUGAUAUUAAUUUUCACGAGUCUAAAUUAAAAUACAUAUGGAUCGUUAUUAAAUAUAUAAAUAGAUUAAAUAUUUAAAAUUAAUCUAUCAUAUAAUCUCCUCUUAAUUUUAUUUUAUUAACUAUUGCUAAAACACUUUUUAAACCUAAAAUUUAACUAAAAUCAAAAUACUAUUUAUGAUCCUAAAAUUUUUUAGAGUAACUUAUUAUUUUGGAGCAAUUUAAAUUAGAAUAUACUAGCUUAUAAAGAGAUUAACUUAUAAAAGGACAUAAUAAUAGUGUUUUAUGUGUGCUUAGUAUUUUAGUUUUUUUAAAAAUGCAAAGCACAUGUUUACUUUAUAAAUAAUAUUAUUUUUAAUAUUUUAUAUUUUAUAUAUGAUGUUUAUAAAAAAUGAAUUUCACAAAUUAACUUACUAUUUGGUAUUAAAAUGAUUACAAUAUUUGCUUAAAAAAAAUUAAAUAAAUACAAAUCACAUACAUUUGUCUACUAUAAUUAAUAUUAUAUUAUUUUAUGAAUAAUUUUAUUAUUUAUAAAAUUUCUUUAGCUCAUUAAUCAUAUCUUUUUGAUCAAAGUUUGUAAAUAUUGUCAUAGCAAUUGUAAGUUAGUUUGUGAAAAUUCUAAAAAUAUUUCAUAAUCAUUAAAUAUAAAAUGAAUAAAAAAUAAAAAAUUAUGCUUUUUGAAAAAUAAAUUCAUGUUUCGUACUUGGUAUUUUUGGUCUUUGGUAUGAGCUUAUAAUUUAACUACAACUAAUUAGUAGAAGUUCACAGUUCUUAGUGACUGCUCAGUAUUCAUUAUUUUGAAAUCUCGAAUUGAUUAAGCGUUGAAUCUUAUUGAUAUCUUUAUGUUCUUAUUGACUAUUGUUGAGAACCAUCGAUACUUCUUGUUAUCCUUGAACUAUCAUUUAUUAUUGUACCCUUGAGAAUUUAAAAUUAUAUUGAACACCCUUAUUGUUAUAUUAUUUGCUGAGCAAACUUGUUGCUCAUUCUUACUUCCCUAAAAACAUUUCAGUUAAGGCAGAGCAAGGCGGACCCUCGGGCACUGAUAAGAGCAAGGGCAAAGCUACGGAGUAGCUUCUUAUUUAUUUAGGAAUAUUAUGAUAAUGUAAAGACAUAAAUUGUGUUAUGUAUUAGUUAUGUCAAAGCUAUGUUUAUGUAUGUUUAAGGUAUAUAAGAGAUGUUUAAGUUACGAAACCUUGGGACGUGA